UCUCGUCUCACCUGCCAUACUCAGCUGGGAAGUUGUUAGAACUCAGAACACUCCAAAGGGAACAUAAGCAACAAACUUCACAUCCAUCAAAUUCUUAACAUGAACCAGGUUCUUUGCUUACAUUCGCAUAGGCAUAUCGGUCUGGUUUUACUUGUCAGGAGGGACUGAAGAAAGCACAGGACGUAAGUUCCUCCAAGAGCAUUCUUGGAGCAGCAUCUCAUCGCUGUCCUUGGGUGUAGCCUCCCUUUUGUGAGGUUCACUCCCUCAGCUGGAGGAUGAACCACAGUGCUGCUGCAGACCUAGCUGAUGUCACAGUUGUUCAAAAGGUUCCUCUUGAAGAAUGAAAUCCUUGGGCUGCCAUUAGGAACUGCAUGCAGUUAAGCCGUAUAACCUCUCUGAUUUUUAGUUUCUCCAUCUAUUUUAUAAAAUAAAACAUUGAAC
rnacentral:lncRNA from 10 species